UACGGAGGGUGCGAGCGUUGUUCGGAAUCACUGGGCGUAAAGGGCGUGUAGGCGGUCCGCUAAGUCUGAUGUGAAAGCCCGGGGCUCACCCCCGGAAGUGCAUUGGAAACUGGCGGACUCGAGUCCCGGAGAGGAGAGUGGAAUUCCUGGUGUAGCGGUGAAAUGCGUAGAGAUCGGGAGGAACAUCAGUGGCGAAGGCGGCCAUCUGGGACAACACUGACGCUGAGGCACGAAAGCGUGGGGAGCAAACAGG
rnacentral:rRNA from 1 species